rnacentral:tRNA from 1 species
GCUCCAAUCGUCCAGUGGCCAGGAUUCCGGACUUUCAAUCCGGGAAGCAGGGUUCGAUUCCCUGUUGGAGCA